GCCUCCCCAGUAUGGCAGCAGCAAGACACAGCAUGCUAGACUUCACGCUGGGUGCCAAAGCUGAUGGUGAGGCCAUUCUGAAAGGCCUUCAGUCCAGUUUUUUCAGGAGCAGGGGAUGACAGAGUCAGUGCACACCUGGCAGGACCAUGGAUAUUUAGCAACUUACACGAACAAGAAUGGCAGCUUUGCCAAUGUGCGAAUUUAUCCACAUGGAUUGGUGUUGCUGGACCUUCAGAGUUACGACAGUGAUGUGCAAGGCAAACAAGAAACUGACAACCUUUUGAACAAGAUAGAAGAAAAAAAUGAAAGAAUUGAGUCAAGACAGUACAGGGCGGGUGAAGCGAUUACCACCCAUAGUUCGAGGAGGGGCUGUUGACAGAUACUGGCCUACUGCUGAUGGGCGCCUGGUUGAGUAUGACGUAGAUGAAGUAGUGUAUGAUGAAGAUUCACCCUAUCAGAACAUUAAAAUCCUACACUCAGAGCAGUUUGGGAAUAUUCUCAUCCUCAGCGGGGAUGUUAAUUUGGCAGAGAGUGACUUGGCAUAUACUCGGGCCAACAUGGGCAGUGGUAAAGAAGACUACACUGGCAAAGAUACACGGAUUCUGGGAGGUGGGGAUGGAGGCAUAUUGUGUGAAAUUGUCAAACUGGAACCAAAGAUGGUCACUAUGGUAGAGAUUGACCAAAUGGUCACUGAUGGAUGUAAGAAAUACAUGCGGAGAACAUGUGGAGAUGUCUUAGGCAAUCUUAAAGGAGACUGCUAUCAGGGUCUUAUAGAAGACUGCAACCCAGUUCUGAAGAGGUAAGCCAAAGAAGGGAGAGAGUUUGAUUAUGUGACUAGUGAUUUGACAGAUAGCUGUCCCUAACUCUAUUCUCCAGAAGAAGAUUGCACAUGGGAGUUCCUCAGACUGAUUCUCGACCUGUCAAUGAAGGUUCUGAAACAGGAUGGAAAAUACUUCACACAGAGGAACUGUGUCAACUUGACUGAAGCCCUGUCGCUCUAUGAAGAACAGCUGGGGCAUCUGUAUUGUCCUGUGGAAUUCUCAAAAGAGAUUGUCUGUGUCCCCUCAUACUUGGAAUUGUGGGUAUUUUACACUGUUUGGAAGAAAGCUAAGCCUUAAAGAUGAGUAUGCCCUGAAUGACGUGUGCUGUGAGCCUCCUUCCUGACCGCCAUAUGCCGUAUGUGCCAUCAAAUGUGUCAGGCAACUGCUCAUGAAUUCCUUCAAGUGGUUUUCACUUUUAAUUAUUAUUUUUAAUUUUAAAAGCCCCCCUGUACUGGCUAGUUUUGUGUCGACUUGACACAGCUGGAGUUAUCACAGACAAAGGAGCUUCAGUUGAGGAAAUGCCUCCAUGAGAUCCAACUGUAAGGCAUUUUCUCAAUUAGUGACCAAGGGGGAAAGGCCCAUUGUGGGUAGUGCCAUCUCUAGGCUGGUAGUCUUGGCUCUAUAAGAGAGCAGGCUGAGCAAGCCAGUAAAGAAUAUCCCUCCAUGGCCUCUGCAUCAGCUCCUGCUUUCUGACCUGCUUGAGUUCCAGUCCUGACUUCCUUUGGUGAUGAACAGCAGUAUGGAAGUGUAAGCUGAAUAAAUCCUUUCCUCUCCGACUUGCUUCUUGGUCAUGAUGUUUGUGCAGGAAUAGAAACCCUGACUAAGACACCCCCCAAAAGGCAAUGGGAAAAAUGUAUAUUUUGAUGAGUUAGGGUGUUAAUUUUUAAAAGUCAGCCUAAGGACAAUUAGACAGUCCAGCAAAGACUGCGGAAUGCACUCACCCCCUAGAAUGUAAUUUUAGUAUCUUUUUUUUUUUCCUCUGUAUGGGGUUUGGAUUUUCAUUUUGGUUUCAGUAGACCUUUAAUUUGGACAUGUGGAGGAAUGAACAACAUUGUUUUAUUCUGGAGAGAAGUUCCUGAUAGUGUUUCUCCCCUCUCACUCCCAAAUUGAUAUUAAAACCUGGUGCUUUUAAAGGUUUAAAAAGAGUGAUUAGCAGAGCUUCAAUGGAAAUGCCAAAGG